GGAUGUGAGGGCCAUCUGGGCUUGACGUCUGUUACCCCAUUGACCAUCAGGGUUGAUGCAACUGAUCUGCCUGGCUCGGCAAGUGUCUCCUCCCUCCCUUGGUGCUCCAUGUGCAUCCCUCCCGAAGCUGCAUGCUUGGUGGCAGAGGAUGACCACCCCCAUUAGAGGAGGACCAUUCUUUGGUCAAGGGUAUACUAGUACUGCUAGGACCUCCAAACAAGCUCCCAAGUUCUGGGCUUACAGGCAAUCUCCACCAUACCCAGCUUUGGGGGGAUAUUUUUUAUCCAAAUCAU
ensembl:misc_RNA 7SK 7SK RNA